CAUACCUAUUCGAAGGGAUAGGGUCGGUUUGGCCGGAUUUCACACAGGUGUUGCAUGGCUGUCGUCAGCUCGUGUCGUGAGAUGUUGGGUUAAGUCCCGCAACGAGCGCAACCCUCAUCCUUAGUUACCGUCAGGUUAUGCUGGGGACUUUAAGGAAACUGCCAGUGAUAAACUGGAGGAAGGUGGGGAUGAUGUCAAGUCAUCAUGGCCCUUAUGGAGUGGGCUACACACGUGCUACAAUGGUGAUUACAAUGGGCUGCAAGGUCGCAAGGCUGAGCUAAUCCUAAAAAAUCAUCUCAGUUCGGAUUGUUCUCUGCAACCCGAGAGCAUGAAGUUGGAAUUGCUAGUAAUCGUGGAUCAGCAUGCCACGGUGAAUACGUUCUCGGGUCUUGUACACACUGCCCGUCACGCCAUGGGAAUUGGUUUCACUCGAAG
rnacentral:rRNA from 1 species